CAUAUCUCCUGAAACUGGUAAACAACUCCAGAAAAGUCUUGGGAUACAGAAUCAAUGAGCAAAAAUCACAAGCAUUCCUAUACACCAAUAACAGA